UAGGGAAUAUUGCAAAAUGGGCGAAAGCCCGAUGCAGCAACGCCGCGUGGGCGAUGAAGGCCUUCGGGUCGUAAAGCCCUUUUUGAGGGGAUGAGGAAGGACAGUACCCUCAGAAUAAGCCUCGGCUAACUACGUGCCAGCAGCCGCGGUAAAACGUAGGAGGCCAGCGUUAUCCGGAUUUACUGGGCGUAAAGCGCGUGCAGGCGGAUUGGAGAGUUGGAUGUGAAAGCUCCCGGCUUAACUGGGAGAGGUCGUUCAAUACUUCCAGUCUUGAGUGCAGUAGAGGGAAGUGGAAUUCCGGGUGUAGUGGUGAAAUGCGUAGAUAUCCGGAGGAACACCAGUGGCGAAAGCGGCUUCCUGGACUGUAACUGACGCUCAGACGCGAAAGCUAGGGUAGCAAACG
rnacentral:rRNA from 1 species